rnacentral:rRNA from 1 species
AACGAACGCUGGCGGCAUGCCUAACACAUGCAAGUCGAACGAACCCUUCGGGGUUAGUGGCGCACGGGUGCGUAACACGUGGGAAUCUGCCCUUUGCUUCGGAAUAACAGUUAGAAAUGACUGCUAAUACCGGAUAAUGUCGCAAGACCAAAGAUUUAUCGGCAAAGGAUGAGCCCGCGUAGGAUUAGCUUGUUGGUGGGGUAAUGGCCCACCAAGGCGACGAUCCUUAGCUGGUCUGAGAGGAUGGUCAGCCACACUGGGACUGAGACACGGCCCAGACUCCUACGGGAGGCAGCAGUGGGGAAUAUUGGACAAGGGGGGAAAGCCUGGUCCAGCAAUGCCGCGUGAGUGAUGAAGGCCUUAGGGUUGUAAAGAGCUUUUACCAGGGAUGAUAAUGACAGUACCUGGAGAAUAAGCUCCGGCUAACUCCGUGCCAGCAGCCGCCGUAA